GACGAACCGUGCGAACGUUAUUCGGAAUCACUGGGCUUAAAGGGCGCGUAGGCGGCUUUGCAAGUCCGGGGUGAAAGCCCCAGCUCAACUGGGGAAGUGCCUCGGAUACUGCAGAGCUCGAGGGAGGUAGGGGCGGAUGGAACUUCCGGUGGAGCGGUGAAAUGCGUUGAUAUCGGAAGGAACGCCGGUGGCGAAAGCGAUCCGCUGGCCCUCUACUGACGCUGAGGCGCGGAAAGCCCAGGGGAGCAAAGCGGGG
rnacentral:rRNA from 1 species